rnacentral:rRNA from 1 species
CUACGGGCCGCUGCAGUGAGGAAUAUUGCACAAUGGAGGAAACUCUGAUGCAGCAACGCCGCGUGGAGGAUGACACUUUUCGGAGCGUAAACUCCUUUUAUAUAGGAAGGAGAUGAUGGUACUAUAUGAAUAAGCGCCGGCUAACUCCGUGCCAGCAGCCGCGAUAAUACGGAGGGCGCAAGCGUUACUCGGAAUCACUGGGCGUAAAGAGCGUGUAGGCGGAUUAAAAAGUCAGAAGUGAAAUCCUAUAGCUUAACUAUAGAACUGCUUCUGAAACUCUUAAUCUAGAAUAUGGGAGAGGUAGAUGGAAUUUCUGGUGUAGGGGUAAAAUCCGUAGAGAUCAGAAGGAAUACCGAUUGCGAAGGCGAUCUACUAGAACAUUAUUGACGCUGAGACGCGAAAGCGUGGGGAGCAAACAGGAUUAGAUACCCGGGUAGUC